CGUGUAGAGUUGCGGGAGAAACAUGCAAAGGGACUCAGGAGCUGUCCUCCAAGAUGAGCAAUUGUGAUUGAAAUGCCAACUGUUAACUGGAAAGGAUAAUAAUAUCUCUGUGAAGAUGGAUUGGGCCAAGACAUUGACUGGCCCAACAUCCAGACAGCUUGCACACCUAAGUUGGGACUAGAAUUUUCCUUGAAGAGGCUUGUUAGAUACACAGUUUGUACUGAUGUAAACAUGAUUAAAAUCAGAGACCAGAUUUGCAUUAUUAAAGUUGAGAGCUGAAAGAAGAUUUUAGAAGAAUACACUUCUAAGAUGCAUGAAGGUAGGCUUGGACAAAUAUUACUACUAUUCAAUGCACUCAAGACUACUGAAAGUGUCCAUUUUUCCCUUGAAACCCUCUGAAGACCUACAUAUUGGGGCAAAGAGAUUAUUUCCUGCAUUAUUGUGGCAGUAAACUUAGAAGCUAACUUCUUCCCUUUGUUGUACAUGCUUACUGAAUGGGUCCAGUUUCAGAACCCUUCAGAUGGCAAAGAAGGGAUCCUUAAAAAUUCAUCUUGCA